GGGGAAUAUUGGGCAAUGGGGGCAACGCUGACCCAGCGACGCCGCGUGGGGGAAGACGGCCUUCGGGUUGUAAACCUCUUUUGUACGGGAAGAAGGAAGUGACGGUACUGUACGAAUAAGUCCCGGCUAACUACGUGCCAGCAGCCGCGGUAAUACGUAGGGGACGAGCGUUGUCCGGAAUUACUGGGCGUAAAGGGCGCGCAGGCUGUGCUGCAAGUCAGCUGUUAAAUGUCUGGGCUUAACCCGGGCAUGCGGUUGAGACUGCGGUGCUGGAGUGCUGUAGAGGCAAGUGGAAUUCCCAGUGUAGCGGUGAAAUGCGUAGAUAUUGGGAAGAACACCGGUGGCGAAGGCGACUUGCUGGGCAGCAACUGACGCUGAGGCGCGAAAGCCAGGGGAGCAAACGGG
rnacentral:rRNA from 1 species